AGUGAACGCUGGCGGCAGGCCUAACACAUGCAAGUCGAACGGCAGCACAAGAGAGCUUGCUCUCUGGGUGGCGAGUGGCGGACGGGUGAGGAAUGCAUCGGAAUCUGCCCAUUUGUGGGGAUAACCUCGGGAAACCGGGACUAAUACCGCAUACGACCUACGGGUGAAAGCAGGGGAUCUUCGGACCUUGCGCAGAUGGAUGAGCCGAUGCCGGAUUAGCUAGUUGGAGGGGUAAAGGGCCACCAAGGCGACGAUCCGUAGCUGGUCUGAGAGGAUGAUCGGCGACCCUGGAACUGAGACACGGCCCAGACGCCUACGGGAGGCAGCAGUGGGGAAUAUUGGACAAUGGGCGGAAGCCUGAUCCAGCCAGGCCGCGUGUGUGAAGAAGGCCUUCGGUUUGUAAAGCACCUUUGUUGGGAAAGAAAAGCAGCCGGUUAAUACCCGGUUGUCAUGGCGGUACCCAAAGAAUAAGCACCGGCUAACUUCGUG
rnacentral:rRNA from 1 species